UACGUAGGGUGCGAGCGUUAAUCGGAAUUACUGGGCGUAAAGCGUGCGCAGGCGGUUAUGCAAGACAGAUGUGAAAUCCCCGGGCUCAACCUGGGAACUGCAUUUGUGACUGCAUGGCUGGAGUGCGGCAGAGGGGGAUGGAAUUCCGCGUGUAGCAGUGAAAUGCGUAGAUAUCGGAAAGAACACCAACGGCGAAAGCACUCUGCUGGGCCGACACUGACACUGAGGAGCGAAAGCGUGGGGAGCGAACAGG
rnacentral:rRNA from 1 species